GCCCUCAAUUAUAUAAAGUAGCUAAAAAGUCUUGAUAGUUGAACAAUCUCGAUCAAAGUCGAAAUCAGAACACUUUUACCGCUUUCGUAGACCCAAAAAAUUCAAAAAUUUGAUAUAUAAACAUUUAGAUAAGCAUAAUCACAAUCUUAAAUUUGUAAAAUGCCAACCCCUCGAAACUGUUCAGAAACAACCAAGAGAAUCACACAAGCAAUUUGAAAAAUCACGUGAAGUUCGCG
rnacentral:lncRNA from 1 species